rnacentral:pre_miRNA from 1 species
AAAGUACUCCCUCCGUCCCAAAAUUCUUGUCUUAAAUUUGUUUAGAUACGGAUGUAUCUAAUACUAAAACGUGACUUGAUACAUCCAUAUCUAGACAAAUCUAAGACAAGAAUUUUGGAACGGAUGGAGUAUAUU